rnacentral:rRNA from 1 species
AACGAACGCUGGCGGCAUGCCUAACACAUGCAAGUCGAACGAAGCCUUCGGGCUUAGUGGCGCACGGGUGCGUAACGCGUGGGAAUCUGCCCUUUGGUUCGGAAUAACAGUUGGAAACGACUGCUAAUACCGGAUGAUGACGAAAGUCCAAAGAUUUAUCGCCAGAGGAUGAGCCCGCGUAGGAUUAGCUAGUUGGUGUGGUAAAGGCGCACCAAGGCGACGAUCCGUAGCUGGUCUGAGAGGAUGAUCAGCCACACUGGGACUGAGACACGGCCCAGACGCCUACGGGAGGCAGCAGUGGGGAAUAUUGGAGAAUGGGCGAGAGCCUGAUACAGCCAUGCCGCGUGAGUGAUGAAGGCCCUAGGGUUGUAAAGCUCUUUUACCCGGGAUGAUAAUGACAGUACCGGGAGAAUAAGCCCCGGCUAACUCCGUGCCAGCCGCCGCCGUAA